CAGCAGCCGCGGGAAUACGGAGGGUGCAAGCGUUAUCCGGAUUUAUUGGGUUUAAAGGGUCCGUAGGCGGACUUAUAAGUCAGUGGUGAAAGCCUGUCGCUUAACGAUAGAACUGCCAUUGAUACUGUAAGUCUUGAGUAUAUUUGAGGUAGCUGGAAUAAGUAGUGUAGCGGUGAAAUGCAUAGAUAUUACUUAGAACACCAAUUGCGAAGGCAGGUUACCAAGAUAUAACUGACGCUGAGGGACGAAAGCGUGGGUAGCGAACAGGAUUAGAUACCCGUGUAGUCCCUGUCUCUUAUAC
rnacentral:rRNA from 1 species